AGUCACUGACAUUAGAUACCCGCGUAGUCCCAGCCGUAAACAAUGUGCGUUAGGUGUGUCGGUUAACCACGCGUUACUGAUGCGCCGAAGAGAAAUCGUGAAACGCACCACCUGGGAAGUACGGUCGCAAGGCUGAACUUAAAGGAAUUGGCGGGGAGCACCACAACAGGUGGAGCCUGCGGUUUAAUUGGAUUCAACGCCGGACAUCUCACCGGAUAAGACAGCUGAAUGAUUGUCAAUCUGAAGGUUUUACAUGACUAGCUG
rnacentral:rRNA from 1 species